UACAGAGGUCUCAAGCGUUGUUCGGAUUCAUUGGGCGUAAAGGGCGCGUAGGCGGCGGGGUAAGUCGGGUGUGAAAUCUCAGGGCUCAACCCUGAAACUGCACUCGAUACUGCUCUGCUUGAGGACUGGAGAGGAGACUGGAAUUCACGGUGUAGCAGUGAAAUGCGUAGAUAUCGUGAGGAAGACCAGUGGCGAAGGCGGGUCUCUGGACAGUUCCGUGGACGCUGAGG
rnacentral:rRNA from 1 species